rnacentral:rRNA from 1 species
GACAGAGGGUGCAAACGUUGUUCGGAAUUACUGGGCGUAAAGCGCGUGUAGGCGGCUGCGCAAGUCGGAUGUGAAAUCCCAUGGCUCAACCAUGGAAGUGCACCCGAAACUGCGUAGCUAGAGUCUCGGAGAGGAAGGCGGAAUGCUUGGUGUAGAGGUGAAAUUCGUAGAUAUCAAGCGGAACACCGGUGGCGAAGGCGGCCUUCUGGACGAUGACUGACGCUGAGACGCGAAAGCGUGGGGAGCGAACAGG